rnacentral:lncRNA from 8 species
GUCCACUCAGCUAAAGUCAGAUUUGCAGAGCCAUGUCAGAGGAUUGAGUGUGAGUUGUAAAUAUUGGAAUGAGGUAACUUUCUGUCUCUUAGGGAAACCUUGGAUCUCUUUUUGUCUUUCAGACCUUACUGUCACUGAUAAUGGUGUGGUUUUGCACACCCAAUUGUAGAAAAGAGGCUGGACAAGAAAAAUGUCAAUGUUGCCAUCCCAGAAGUUUCCUUCCACCACGUUCAGACAGGCCAGUAGGAUUCCAGUUUUGAAGAGCCACAGACCGUCCAGGGGCACAGACAGGGGUGGAGAAGGAAUUGGACAGGAUAACCUUGAAAGGGCUGCCCGACUGCAAGAAGAGGGUUUUUAAAAAUCUUUAAUCUGUGGUACUGUUUAACCGUUUCACAACAUUAUAAUCAUAUCACACAACAUUUGGCUGCAUUCUGUAAUUUCAUGUUGGCUUUAUUCUUAUCAUUACAGGCUAAAUUGCAAGAGCUGUCCUUUGAAGAAAGGGAAGAGGUGCAGGAGCUUGCCGCUUCCCGUCUACCUGGAGUGAUUGUUUGACAUCAUGGAGUACCAGAGAGCUAUCCCAGGGUAUCUGGACAACCUCGCUGGUGCACUUGCAUGAAUUGCAGGGAGACUCCUGCAUCUUACAACACACAAUUGCUACCAUUUUACCACUGCAAUAUUCCAUUUAUUUAUUACCAAGCAUGUUUACAUAACAGGUUAACACUUUCCAUGACUACACAGUAAUUUAUUCUUCAUUUGGAUCCCAAUUAGGAAAAAUACUCAAUGGGGAUGUCUUUGUAAGUUGUUUUUUGUGAAUUUUUCCUUGGUCUGGGUGAUAUCACUUUGUUAGAAUGUUUCCCUUACAUUGUGCUUUUGUUAUUUUGAGGAAGGUUACAGAGACUACCUUGUAUUCUUGUUUAUCUUUCUAAUAAAACUAUUUGAGCUGAUCUGUAUAAUCAGACCGACUUGUUAUGAACUGUAUUUACAUAAGGGUAGUCCAUCCAUCUUUCUGGAUAUCAACCUAUUUGUAGGUCUGCUAAUUUGAAGUGUAAACCGUCAAGAGCAGAGCUAUCUAGGAAAAGAGAACAGUUUAGUAAAUCCUUCUAAGAAAUAUUCUAAAAGUACAAUAAUGAUUGUACUUAUUGUACUCUAA